rnacentral:ncRNA from 2 species
CCGCUCACCGGGGGGAGCCGCUCGGCGGCUGAGAGGUUCGCAAGAACGACCCCGGAAAACCUGAUCCGGUUAAUGCCGGCGUAGGGACUGGUGGCUCGCUUGGUC